rnacentral:pre_miRNA from 14 species
GCCUGCUCCCUGAGACCUCAAGUGUGAGCGCACUGUUGAUGCUUCACGCCUGGGCUCUCUGGGUACCAGG